GAUGAACGCUGGCGGUAUGCCUAACACAUGCAAGUCGAACGCACCUUUAUGGUGAGUGGCGGACGGGUGAGUAACACGUGAGAAUCUGCCUCUUGGUCGGGGAUAACAGUUGGAAACGACUGCUAAUACCGGAUGAGCCGCAAGGUAAAAGAUUUAUUGCCAAGAGAAGAGCUCGCGCCUGAUUAGCUAGAUGGUGGGGUAAAAGCCUACCAUGGCGACGAUCAGUAGCUGGUCUGAGAGGAUGAGCAGCCACACUGGGACUGAGACACGGCCCAGACUCCUACGGGAGGCAGCAGUGGGGAAUUUUCCGCAAUGGGCGAAAGCCUGACGGAGCAAUACCGCGUGAGGGAGGAAGGUUCUUGGAUCGUAAACCUCAAAACUUAGGGAAGAAACAAAUGACGGUACCUAACAUAAGCAUCGGCUAACUCCGUGCCAGCCGCCGCCGU
rnacentral:rRNA from 1 species